AAAUUUCCCUUAAUUAAAAUAUCUAGACAUUGACCUAUAAGACAUAAGAUCCUUAGACCUCCCUUUCCAUAGAGCAGCGGCGCAAAAGAGAGGACCAUCUCUAGUUUUCCCUUCAGCAGCGAUUUUCCCCAUCUUGCUCCUUCAUUUUUUCCAUCAUCUUCAACAGAAGAACAACAUAUGAAGACCCUUUCCCUUUUAGAUUAGAGAACAACAGACACUCCUCUCUUCUUCAACAAAGAAUCAGAUCCCCCCGUUUAGCAAGAAAAAUCGGGUCCCCUCACCUUCAAAAAAAAAAAGAGACCAUCGGACCCCCCAUUUCCCAAACACACACGAAAAUCACACUAAAACCUGCUGGAAAAUUUGGAUUUCAGAUUCGAAAAUUCGAAGUUAUUCUCAAAGUUCAAAAAUAAUUGAAGCAAAAUCGAUUCUCUGGGCUUGUUAAUGAGUUUCGUCGCUAUCAAGUUUCGGCUCGUUUGUCACUGGUCUUGUUGUUGUUCUGUUGUCCCAGCUAUGUUGAUGAGUUCUGCCUUCAUUUGGUUAUUUUGUGGUCUUCAUUUGGCUUUUGAGGUAUGACCUCAAUUUCAGUCAUGUAAUUGUACUGCUGGAUGUUCUGAGUGAUAUGAAACCUGCUUAUAUAUUCUUCAUCUCAAUACUUUGUCAGACUAUUUUACUUGGUUAACCAUGUAAUCAGCACAUUAAUAUUAAAUGCUUGGUGAAGUUGGUCUUUGGAGUAUGCAGUAGAUCUCCGUAGCCCCUUAUGAAAAAUGAACAAGAUUUUCCAAUUCAUUGUCACACCUUGUUCUAACUUGAUUGCCUUUAGGUAUUUGCGGUGCAAUCUAAACUUUUUUUGUAUAGUGUGUCGAAUAUAUGCUUGUGUUGUUUAUCCAAUUGGAAAUCUGGUCAUGCAUUAAAAUUGCCCGUGUGGAUAGAUGUUUAGUGUACUGCGUCAAGAUAUGUUGAGCAUGUUUGGCUGGCUAUUUUGGAAUUUGGAAGGAUGAGUAAUUUGGACCUCUUAUUGUCCGAAAAUAAGGGAUAGAUACAUAUGUAAAGGAGUUUUCUCUAAAACUAUAUUAAGGAGUUCCAUUUGAGAGGACCAAUGCCUCUAAAGGUUUGUUUUGGUAUGUUUAUUCGUUUGGCAUUUAAGUUUUCCAAUUGAAUUAAUCUCAUCAGAGAAGUAAAAAAGGGCACAUGUAUUUGAGUCAAAUUUAUGUGAAAUUUUCUUUAGUUGUUAUAUGCUUUGUUUUUUAGAGAAUCAGUUGAAAAUCGAGUUUCACUUGUUUAAAUUUACUUCUUGCCUAGUUGAUUUUCUUAUUGGAUAGUAAGUUAGAAGAUUUUUUGUAGGUAUAAUGGGCAGUAGGAAGAUUUACAACUCCAUAUAAUUCAUAGCCUUGCAAUAAUCUCAAUUUUAGGAAAAUAAUCAUGAACAUCCGUAGUUCGCUUUAGUUGAGUACAAUCUUUUAAAAUAAAUUGAGGCAUGUCAUCCACAAAUGAAUUCUAUAAUCCAUGGCUCUCACAUAAAUACAAAACUAGUGUAGAAAACACUUUGAACAUUCGUAGUUUGCUUUAGGCACGUUUACAAUAAAAUUAUUGUGACAAUGGGUACGGUUCCUGUGACAUAGUUAUGAUAACUAAUCCCCAAAAUCGGGUGUGCAUUUCAUGUGACCCGAUCGUAACAACUUCGAAUAUUAAUAAAAAUAAACAUGUCGUGAAUCGCGGGUGCAUUUCAUGUAGCGUGAUUUGCGGUGUGUUCCAAAAUAAAUAAGUGUACAAUCGUAACUUGUUCAAUAAAUAAAUCCAUAAAUUCUAAAAGUCGUUAAAUUAAUUAAAAGCGGUUAUGAAGCUAUAAAUGCAUAAGAGGUUUAAAAUAUGUAGUAAAUCAGAUAAUAGGCCAAAUAUUAAUAGUUUAAGCGAUUGUGCUAGAACCACGGAACUCGAGAAUGCCUAACACCUUCUCUCGGGUUAACAGAAUUCCUUACUUAGAAUUUCUGGUUCGCAGACUUAUAAAGUAAAUUCGAAAUUUCCUCGAUUUGGGAUUUUAAAAUAAACCGGUGACUUGGGACACCAUAAACUAUCCCAAGUGGCGACUUUGAAAAAUAAAUAAAAUAAUUUCAUUUUGAAUAAUGUCACUUUAAUUGGAAAAAAUUCUUAUAUCCCCCUCGGGUGGUAAAAAAGGAGGUGUGACAGUAACAGCUGGAUAGAAAUAUGAAAUUUUGAGGGUUUAGUUUCAAAAGUUGAAAAUUCAAUUUGGAGCUCAGGAGAGGGCGAUUUUGAGAGGAAAUUGAAGAGCAGAUCAUUGGGUAACAAUUCUUUAACCCUUUCUAGUUAUAUUCCAUCAAUCUAUAGUUAAUUUCAUCAUUUAAUUUCGGAUUGGAGAUGAAAAUUGGGUAUUCUGAAAAUAUAAAUUUUACCCGAUUCUGAGAUGUGGGCCCGAGGGGCGUUUUGGUCAUUUUUCCUAAAUUCGCGUAUUAGCUUAGAAUUUCUUUGUAGAAGCAGUUACUUGAAGUGUUAUUUAUAUUAUGCAAUUGAAUUGAAUAUAUUUGGGCCAUUUGGAGUCGAGUACUCGUGGCAAGAGCAUGGUUUCGGAUUGAUUUGAGCUGGUUCGAGGUAAGUGGCUUGUCUAACCUUGUGUGUGGAACCGUGCCCUUAGGAUUUGGUAUAUUUGGUAAUUGAAAUGCCUUGUACGUGAGGUGACGAGUACGUACUUGUGCUAAUUGUUGGAAAUCCGGUUUUCAUUAAGUAAUUACUAGUAUGUUUCCUUUCCUGUUUUUAUUACUUGCACUAUUAAGCAUGUUGUUAGCUUAGGAAAGCAUGUCUAAGUGAUUUAAUUGCUUUAUUUGCUCAAACUGCCUUACCUAAAUUCUAUGCAGCAUGCUAGGCUAGAAUCACUUGUUUGCCUUAAUAUGAAAUUUGCCAUUUAUGUAUAUUUUCCCGUUGCUGCUGUGUAUUUACAUAGGGACUACGGAUAUGGGAUUCCGGUAGCUCCCCCUGUCGGUUUAUUUUGGGACUAUGGAUGUGGGAUUCCGAUAGACCCCCCUGCACAGUUAUAUGGAACUACUGGAAUGCACCCGGUAGAUUCCUCCAGUACUGGGUAUUUAUAUUUGGGGCUACGAAACGGGAUUCCGGUAGAUCCCCACGUACUUUGAGUUGGAUUACGGGAAGGGAUCCCGGGAGAUCCAUUGGAUAUGUAUAUUUGGGACUACUGGACGAUAUCCUGGGAGAUCCCCGAUUGUUGUUUUUGUACUGAGCCGUAUUUCUUUCUGUAUACUUUGCCUCUGUAAUAGUUGUUGCUGUCCUUUAUAUCUUGUGUUACCUUUACUGCUGUACUUAUUUAUAUUGUUCUGUUCUACACUGUCGAACUUUAUAUUUUAUUUAACCUCAGUAGGGCCCUGACCUUCCUCAUCACUACUCAACCGAUGUUAGGCUUGACACUUAUUGAGUACCGCUGUGGUGUACUCAUGCCCUUUGUGCGCAUGUUUUUCAUGUGCCGAUCCAGGUACCUUGACUCAAACUUACCAUCCUUGAGGUGAGGCGACUGUUCGGAGACUUCGAGGUAUAUCUGUCGCGUCCGCAGACCGAGGAGUCUCUCUCCACUCUCUUAUAGUUAUCGCCCUUCUGUAUUUAGAGCACUAUAUAGUGAUCCUUAGCUUGUGAUUCAUGGGUUUCCGGGUCUUGGAGAUAUGUAUUGAUUUUUGAGAGUUAAAUAUUAUGUAUGCCGAGCGACACUUUUAAACACUGUCUUAUUACUCUAAUUCUAUUUUAAAUUGUUUUACUUCCUCA
rnacentral:lncRNA from 1 species